CCGAUCAUCGGGUUUGGAAGACGGAUCAUUUCUUCGUCUUCGGGGUUACGUUUUUUUCUUUUCCUCAUCUCGAGCUCGUAUAAUUUUCUUUUUUUGAGGGACCCGUUGAAUGAGAUUUUCGGUACCUCUUCUUCAAAAAAUACGUCUUCUGUCUUUGCCAUUUGGGCAGCACAAAUAAAAUCAGUUAGUUCUGCAAUUGAAGCUUCGGGUCCUGCAAAAAAAGGUUAAGCAGUAACGCUAACUUAAAGAGCUCAAAGCAAAAAAGAAUAACAAAGUACAUAAUGUUAUUAUAUAUUAUUAAUCUUAGCAUUAUUUACAUAAACAACAAUUACUUUCAUUAUUGUCCCAAACAUAUUGUUUAGUCAGCAAACCUGAUGAGUUGGCAAGAUA
rnacentral:lncRNA from 1 species